UACGGAGGUGGCAAGCGUUGUCCGGAAUUACUGGGCGUAAAGCGCACGUAGGCGGCUUUGUAAGUUAGAGGUGAAAGCCUGUAGCUCAACUCCAGAAUUGCCUUUAAGACUGCAUCGCUUGAAUCCAGGAGAGGUGAGUGGAAUUCCGAGUGUAGAGGUGAAAUUCGUAGAUAUUCGGAAGAACACCAGUGGCGAAGGCGGCUCACUGGACUGGGAUUGACGCUGAGGUGCGAAAGCGUGGGGAGCGAACGGG
rnacentral:rRNA from 1 species